AUGCAAAGAACUUUGAAAAGAGAGUUAAAGAGUACCUGAAAUUGCUGAAAGGGAAGCGAAGGAAACCAGUGUCUUGGACGUCAUAUUUCUAUGCUCACUUGUGGGCAUGGCGCUGUGGCUUCAAUGGUCAAGUUUGAUUGGGUCCGUUAGAAUACCUUGUUAGGAGUUGACUAGCAACGGUUGUAAUGGACCUGAUUGAGAUUGACGAAAUGGUUUUCUUUACCCCGUCUUGAAACACGGACCAAGGAGUCUAACAUAUGUGCGAGUACAGAAGUGACAAACUUCCGUGCGCAAUGAAAGUGACAGUGGUGGGACUUUUGCACCAUCCGCCGGCCUCAAUCCCUCGGGAGAACGGUCUGAGUGUGAGCAUACAUGUUGGGACCCGAAAGAUGGUGAACUAUGCCUGAAUAGGGUAAAGCCAGGGGAAACUCUGGUGGAGGCUCGUAGCGAUUCUGACGUGCAAAUCGAUCGUCAAAUUUGGGUAUAGGGGCGAAAGACUAAUCGAACCAUCUAGUAGCUGGUUCCCUCCGAAAUUUCCCUCAGGAUAGCUGCGAUCGAUCAAUUUUAUCA
rnacentral:rRNA from 1 species